AGGUAUGCCAGAUCCGCCAUAAAUACAGGGAGUCCACUAUUCACACGGACAGAGUCUCCCCUGUAUUUACAUGGCGUCGCACAAGUACAAUAUACAACCACAACUGUACGAGCAUACACAUACAUUGACCAUUCACAGUCACCAAUCAUUUCAUCACAGAUAAUUAUAAAUUCACAUCUAUUAGUUUAAAAUGUUUCCUACACGAAAACUCAUUUUAAAACACUAAAAGUCAUGAAAACAAAGAAAAACCUUUUUAAAACCGUUUCCCACACGAAAACCUUUUCUUUUAAAACACGCUACCAUGAGGGGUAGAAAACUAUUUUUAUGAUCUCAUAUGAAAGUCAUAAUUACUUUAUUAAUUUCACAAA
rnacentral:lncRNA from 1 species